rnacentral:rRNA from 1 species
GAUGAACGCUAGCGGGAGGCCUAAUACAUGCAAGUCGAACGGUAAGGUCUCUUCGGAGAUACACGAGUGGCAAACGGGUGCGUAACGCGUACGAAACAUACCUUUAACAGGAGGAUAGCCUUGGGAAACCGAGAAUAAUACUCCAUAGUAUUAUAAAGUAGCAUUACUUAAUAAUUAAAGCUCCGGCGGUUAAAGAUUGUCGUGCGUCCCAUUAGCUAGUUGGUAAGGUAACGGCUUACCAAGGCGAUGAUGGGUAGCUGGUUUGAGAGGAUGAUCAGCCACACUGGUACUGAGACACGGACCAGACUCCUACGGGAGGCAGCAGUAGGGAAUAUUGGACAAUGGACGCAAGUCUGAUCCAGCCAUCCCGCGUGCAGGAUUAAGGCCCUCUGGGUUGUAAACUGCUUUUAUUAGAGAAGAAAACAGCAGAUUCAUCUGUUCUUGACGGUAUCUAAUGAAUAAGCACCGGCUAACUCCGUGCCAGCAGCCGCGGUAAUACGGAGGGUGCGAGCGUUAUCCGGAUUUACUGGGUUUAAAGGGUGCGCAGGCGGUAAUUUAAGUCAGUGGUGAAAGCCUACAGCUCAACUGUAGAACUGCCAUUGAAACUGAAUUACUUGAGUGUGGUAGAGGUAGGCGGAAUAUAACAUGUAGCGGUGAAAUGCAUAGAUAUGUUAUAGAACACCGAUUGCGAAGGCAGCUUACUAAACCAUUACUGACGCUCAGGCACGAAAGCGUGGGGAGCGAACAGGAUUAGAUACCCUGGUAGUCCACGCCCUAAACGAUGUUCACUCGAUAUUUGCGAUAAACAGUAAGUGUCCAAGCGAAAGCGUUAAGUGAACCACCUGGGGAGUACGAUCGCAAGGUUGAAACUCAAAGGAAUUGACGG